UACGGGGGGAGCAAGCGUUGUUCGGAUUUACUGGGCGUAAAGGGCGCGUAGGCGGCGUGACAAGUCACUUGUGAAAUCUCCGGGCUUAACCCGGAGCGGCCAAGUGAUACUGUCGUGCUAGAGUGCGGAAGGGGCUACUGGAAUUCUCGGUGUAGCGGUGAAAUGCGUAGAGAUGUGGAGGAACACCAGUGGCGAAGGCGACUCUUUGGCCUGUAACUGACGCUGAGGCGCGAAAGCGUGGGGAGCAAACAGG
rnacentral:rRNA from 1 species